ACUUUUGUGUGUGACCUCGUCUUUUUAUUUUAUUUUAUUUUAUUAAAUGAUCUCGUUUUUUGGUGUGCUAAAGGGAGAAACACAACUCAUUGAUGCAUGUAUUGGAAACACAUUUAAUAAUAAUUUUUUAUGAACAAUUUUUCCAACUUCUUAAGUGCUAAAAUUAUUUCAUUUAUAUAUGGAGAGAAUGAGCUUUAUAAAUAUAAAGUGAUAAAAACAAUUGUUACAAGAAAAGUAACGAGAUAUGGCUAAAAUUAUCAAGUUUGUUUAUGUUAUGAUUAUCAUUAUUUCCUUCUUUCUAGUUGCAACGAAUGCUAAAGAUGACUGCUUAGUUGAUGCCGAUUGUGUAACACUUGUAUGCGAAUUUGAUGAGAGACCGCAGUGUGUGAUAAACACUUGUCGAUGCCGUCCAUUGCGGUUUUCAGGAUUUUAUUAUGAGCAGCUUCAUUGAUGCAUUUAGUGCUAGACCCAAGAAAAGUCAGCAAAUUCUCUGUUAGAAUAAUUAAGAAUUGUCAUUUACACCAUCCGAUUACAUUUAUAAUAAAAAAACAACUUUUUAAGUAUAUCCAAUAAUUAAUAUAUCUAAUCUAUAAAUGUGACCCGAUAUAUUAAUUAUUCAAUAUAUUUGAAAAUCAUUUUUUGUUAUAAAUAUAAUUGAAGAAAGUAGGUAUCUUGCUGCCACCUAAUGAAUGAAAUUUGUACUUUUUCUAA